rnacentral:rRNA from 1 species
GAUGAACGCUGGCGGUAUGCUUAACACAUGCAAGUCGAACGGACUCUUCGGAGUUAGUGGCGGACGGGUGAGUAACGCGUUAGAAUCUGGCUUUGGGUUCGGGACAACCACUGGAAACGGUGGCUAAUACCGGAUGUGCCGAGAGGUAAAAGAGAAAUUGCCUGAAGAUGAGCUCGCGUCUGAUUAGCUAGUUGGUGAGGUAAAGGCUCACCAAGGCAGCGAUCAGUAGCUGGUCUGAGAGGAUGACCAGCCACACUGGGACUGAGACACGGCCCAGACUCCUACGGGAGGCAGCGGUGGAGAAUUUUCCGCAAUGGGCGAGAGCCUGACGGAGCAAUACCGCGUGAGGGAAGAAGGCUCUUGGGUUGUAAACCUCUUUUCUUAGGGAAGAACAAAAUGACGGUACCUAAGGAAUCAGCAUCGGCUAACUCCGUG